CAGUCGCCGCGGUAAUACGUAGGGUGCAAGCGUUAAUCGGAAUUACUGGGCGUAAAGCGUGCGCAGGCGGUUUGUUAAGACAGAUGUGAAAUCCCCGGGCUCAACCUGGGAACUGCAUUUGUGACUGGCAAGCUAGAGUAUGGCAGAGGGGGGUAGAAUUCCACGUGUAGCAGUGAAAUGCGUAGAGAUAUGGAGGAACACCAGUGGCGAAGGCGGCUACCUGGACUGACACUGACACUGAGAGACGAAAGCUAGGGGAGCAAAUGGGAUUAGAUACCCGCGUAGUCCCUGUCUCUUAUAC
rnacentral:rRNA from 1 species